GAUGAAGAACGUAGCGAAAUGCGAUACUUGGUGUGAAUUGCAGAAUCCCGUGAACCAUCGAGUCUUUGAACGCAAGUUGCGCCCGAAGCCAUUAGGCCGAGGGCACGUCUGCCUGGGCGUCACGCAUCGCGUCGCCCCCCUUCCCCGUGCUGAAUGCCGGGCGGUCGGGGGCGGACAUUGGCCUCCCGUGCACCUCCGUGCGCGGCUGGCCCAAAUGCGAUCCCCGGGCGACUGGCGUCACGACAAGUGGUGGUUGAACAUCUCAAUCUCUCUCGUCGUCGUGCCGUCCUGUCGUCAUUACGGGAAUAGUCAUAAACGACCCAACGGUGCCGGUGCUUAACUGCACCUCACCUUCGACCGCGACCCCAGGUCAGGCGGGAUUACCCGCUGAAUUUAAGCAUAUCCAAUAAGCGGAGGA
rnacentral:misc_RNA from 1 species